rnacentral:tRNA from 1 species
UCUUGAUGGCCGAGCCAGGCACUAAGCUUUUAACUUAGCCACAGACCACACUCUUCAAGGC